CCUACGGGUGACAGCAGUGGGGAAUAUUGGACAAUGGGGGAAACACUGAUCCAGCGACGCCGCGUGAGUGAAGAAGUAUUUCGGUACGUAAAGCUAUAUCAGCAGGAAAGAAAAUGACGGUACCUGACUAAGCAGCCCCGGCUAACUACGUGACAGCAGCCGCGGUAAUACGUCGGGGGCAAGCGUUAUCCGGAUUUACUGGGUGUAAUGGGAGCGUAGACGGCUGCGGAAGUCUGGAGUGAAAUGCCGGGGCCCAACCCCGGAACUGCUCUUGAAACUGUGAGGCGGGAGUUGAAGAGAGGUAAGCGGAAUUCCUGGUGUAGCGGUGAAAUGCAUAGAUAUCAGGAGGAACACCGACGGCGAAGGCGGCUUACUGGACUGUAACUGACGUUGAGGCUCGAAGGCGUGGGGAGCAAACAGGAUUAGAUACCCCUGUAGUC
rnacentral:rRNA from 1 species